UGGGGAAUUUUGGACAAUGGGCGAAAGCCUGAUCCAGCAAUGCCGCGUGUGUGAAGAAGGCCUUCGGGUUGUAAAGCACUUUUGUCCGGAAAGAAAUCCUUGGCUCUAAUACAGUCGGGGGAUGACGGUACCGGAAGAAUAAGCACCGGCUAACUACGUGCCAGCAGCCGCGGUAAUACGUAGGGUGCAAGCGUUAAUCGGAAUUACUGGGCGUAAAGCGUGCGCAGGCGGUUUGCUAAGACCGAUGUGAAAUCCCCGGGCUCAACCUGGGAACUGCAUUGGUGACUGGCAGGCUAGAGUAUGGCAGAGGGGGGUAGAAUUCCACGUGUAGCAGUGAAAUGCGUAGAGAUGUGGAGGAAUACCGAUGGCGAAGGCAGCCCCCUGGGCCAAUACUGACGCUCAUGCACGAAAAGCGUGGGGGAGCAAAACAGGAUUAGAUACCCCUGGUAGUCCACGCCCUAAAACGAUGUCAACUAGUUGUUGGGGGAUUCAUUUCCUUAGUAACGUAGCUAACGCGUGAAGUUGACCGCCUGGGGGAGUACGGUCGCAAGAUUAAAAACUCAAAGGAAUUGACGGGGUCAUAGCUGUUUCCU
rnacentral:rRNA from 1 species